rnacentral:sRNA from 1 species
AAUUGAUUUAACUUGACCUGCUGGAGAUUCGGGUCCUUUGCAGUUUUUCAUCACGGUGCAUAGUCUGGGUAAUUUCUUUAGGUUCACUUCCAAGAAGUGGAAUUUUGUUCAGGACAGUGCUUGUUUUCACAGCUUUGGAGAGUUUUGUCCUCCAUCGUUACUUUCCUAAAAAGUUAGAAUGCUCAGACUCUCACUUUCAUUUGAGUUAACUUGGGGGGAUAAAAAGGUUCACCAGCUUAAUUUUUUUUCUUUUUCUUUUUGAGACGGAGUCUCGCUCUGUUGCCCAGGCUGGAGAGCAGUGGCGCGAUCUCGGCUCACUACAACCUCCACCUCCCGGAUUCAAGCGAUUCUCCUGCCUCAGCCUCCCAAGGAGCUGGAAUUACAGGGGUGUGGCACCAUGCCCAGCUAAUUUUUGUAUUUUUAGUAGAGAUGGGGUUUCACCACGUUGGCCAAGCUGUAUUUUUAGUAGAGAUGGGAUUUUACCAUGUUAGCCUGGCUGGUCUCGAACUCCUGGCCUCAGGUGAUCCACCCGCCUCACCCUCCCAAAGUGCUGGGGUUACAGGCGUGCGCCAUCGCACCCGGCCCUCAGCUUAAACUUUUGCUAACAGCAUAUCUAGGAGUGUCAGUUUCCUUAGCCCUCACCAGCAGCGGGCACUGAGGUCUGUUUCCUCGGGCGUGCUGGGCGUCCUGCCUCCUUUCCAUGUCCAUGGCAGAUGUGGAAGUAUAAUAGCACACUUCCUCUGGAGAGUGGGAGGAAGGAGGGGCAGGGCCCGCGUUCAGGGCUGCUCCUGCCUCACCUGCGAGGUUCCCGAGCCAGGCAUAAGUCACUUGCCUAGACUUGGGGAAGGUCUUCCAGUCAGGAUGACUUCUCAAACUCUCAGUCCCAGCGCUGGGCAAGGCUGAGUGGGCUCCAUGUCAUCCCCCAGAUUCCCAGGACUCCGGCUCUCUCUGCUUCUGUUUCCGGUGGCUGCUUAUCUGGUUCAAGAGGGAAUUCCCCUUCCCGGAUGUCCUUCGGCUGUGGGAGGUGCUGUGGACAGGGCUCCCUGGCCCCAAUCUGCACCUGCUGGUGGCCUGCGCCAUCCUGGACAUGGAGAGGGACACCCUCAUGCUGUCCGGCUUCGGCUCCAAUGAGAUCCUCAAGCACAUCAACGAGCUGACUAUGAAGCUGAGCGUGGAGGACGUGCUGACCCGCGCCGAGGCCCUGCACCGCCAGCUAACCGCCUGCCCCGAGCUGCCCCACAACGUGCAGGAGAUACUGGGGCUGGCGCCGCCCGCAGAGCCCCACAGCCCCUCGCCCACCGCCUCCCCGCUGCCUCUGUCGCCCACCCGGGCCCCGCCCACCCCGCCGCCUUCCACGGACACAGCCCCGCAGCCCGACAGCAGCCUGGAGAUCCUGCCCGAGGAGGAGGACGAGGGCGCCGACUCCUAACCCCGCCAGGCAGCCUCGUUCUGCACAGGCACUUUAGCCCGAGCCAGGCACACCUGGGAGGGGGCGGGUGUGCUCCGCCGCCCUACUGAUAAGCUGGCUUCAUUAAACUGACACUUCUC